AUGUCGCUCUUCGCCACCACGGGCCCUCGUUGCGCCAUGAUCUUCAGCGCCUUGGGGGCCGAGAUGGCACAGCCAAAAGUGACACCGACAUUGCAGCCAUGUCUGUCAUGCGGCUGGAACUGAUCAUGAAGUCCAUCGUCCCAGUGGUCCUGGCGGGCAUCAUCGCCAACUCCCUCAAUGUCCACAUCACCCUCUACGGGAAUUUCCCCCAGCCUGGUGCUGCCUGAGCGCGGGCUUUGCCCUCGGCAUGGUGGGGACGCUGGCGUGCGGGGCACUGCCCAGCGGCCCUGGCUGUUCGCGGGCAUGAGCCUGAUCCUCAUCUUCGCUGACGUGCUUGGCCUCUCUGGGCUCAUCGUGGCCCUCAUCCUCUCCACAAAGUAGCCCCUCUCCAAGCCCACCAGCCACAGAAUAUGAUGUAAAGGCCACCCCUCCUCAUUCCAGAAGGAACAGCCUGACACACACGCACGGGCAGCUGCCCCCUCCGUAGUGGUCUUGUAAAUGCGCAGUGUCCUAGUGCCCAUG